CACAUUAGCAUGCCUAUUUCCCUGAGAAAAACAAAAUACAGAUUUUGACAUCAGUAAUUUAAUCACUUAAUGCAACAUCAAUUCUUAUCAGCUCACUACGUUACUAACAACCAUCAAUAUCUUCUCUAAAUAGGUAAGUUCCCAAAUGUCAACCUGAUACAACUGAUAGGGUGCUAGAAAGUAAAUAAUCUUUGGUUUUAAUGUCAGCAGAACACAAACAAAAUUAAAAGAAAUAUUCAGGAAUUAAACCACCAAUUUACUAUUGCAUUCAAAGGGUUAAUUAAGGAGGCUUAUAUCAGACAUUGUGCAUACUCAAGACCUGUUUAAGUAUCAGCAACUUGGGCAUUUUGUUUCCCAUUAUAUUAAUUUAAAGCACAUCAAAUAAUAAACAAAACAAGGAACCAUGAAGGAGAAGACCAUACCUGUCCAUCAGCAACAGCAGCAG
rnacentral:misc_RNA from 1 species